AGCAAUCUGCCUUGGAGUGGGGAAUAACGGUUGGAAACAGCCGCUAAUACCGCAUGAUGCGUCUGGGAGGCAUCUCUCUGGACGCCAAAGAUUUAUCGCUCUGAGAUGAGCUCGCGUCUGAUUAGCUAGUUGGCGGGGCAACGGCCCACCAAGGCGACGAUCAGUAGCCGGACUGAGAGGUUGGCCGGCCACAUUGGGACUGAGACACGGCCCAGACUCCUACGGGAGGCAGCAG
rnacentral:rRNA from 1 species